UACGGGGGGGGCAAGCGCUGUUCGGAAUUACUGGGCGUAAAGGGUUCGUAGGUGGCUUGUUAAGUCAGACGUGAAAUCCCUCGGCUCAACCGGGGAACUGCGUCUGAGACUGAUGAGCUCGAGUGCAGGAGAGGAACGCGGAAUUCCAGGUGUAGCGGUGAAAUGCGUAGAUAUCUGGAGGAACACCGGUGGCGAAGGCGGCGUUCUGGACUGCAACUGACACUGAGGAACGAAAGCCAGGGGAGCAAACGGG
rnacentral:rRNA from 1 species